rnacentral:tRNA from 1 species
GGAGAGGUGCCAGAGCGGUCGAUUGGGGCUCCCUGCUAAGGAGUUGUACUCUAACGGGUACCGGGGGUUCGAAUCCCUUCCUCUCCG